UAUCAUUCUACACAAUUCCUCUUAAAAUGUCUACCAUGAGGUAAUAAGGUAUGUUUUUUUGAUAGUUUUGAUGUCUUAUACGGUUAUGUUUGGAUGUGUUCUUUUAAAAACAAAAUAGAUUUGUAUGCGUUUUCUUGUGUACACCGUGCAAGAAUACGACAUAAUGAAUUUCCACUUUUGUUCUUUGCAGAUUUCAGGCCUUCACAAUUGUUCUAUGGUGGAAGAAUGUUUGCUUUUUCACAAAGAUUUUUUUUUAGUUAUGCAAACAUUAGUUUUGAUUUCCAAUAAUUCUAUUCAAUAAGAUUGUUAUAAUUUUGAUUUCGACUACUGAAAGAAUUUUUUGCUGUGAUUUAAAACCAUUUCCAAAAAAAAUCUGUUGUUAUAUAAGUUAAUCAUUAUCAUAAACCCUUAUAUACAUCACUGAAGAAAGUAAAAAACAAACAUCUAAUCUUAAGCCAGGGUUCAAUAAUCUAAUUCCUUAUGCUACAUUGUCCUACUUUUUCACCUUAUGAAUUACUAACCGUAUUAAACGUCUUUUGUCCAGUCAAGGUUGUUGUCUUCUUUUGCAUUUUGAUUACAGAUUCUUGGUUCUCUCCAUGUCUAUACUGCGACACUUUUAAAAAGUUCAAUACAGCAUAUGAUCAUAGUACUAAAUGAUGAUUGAAUGAAUUUAAAUUAGGAGACAAUCAUAUCUAAAUAAGAACACAUACAUUUAAGAUUGACUACAUGAUUAGUGUGCCUUCCCUUUGCUAUGUGAUGUUACAACUCAUUCUCAUCUGCCUGAGCUUUUCUAUAAAUCACUUCUAUCCCCUGUCCCUCUGUUUCUCCCUAAAGAGUUGUUCGUCUAUAUUACAAC
rnacentral:lncRNA from 1 species